GAACGCUAGCUACAGGCUUAACACAUGCAAGUCGAGGGGCAGCAUUUUAGUUUGCUUGCAAACUGAAGAUGGCGACCGGCGCACGGGUGAGUAACACGUAUCCAACCUGCCGAUAACUCCGGAAUAGCCUUUCGAAAGAAAGAUUAAUACCGGAUAGCAUACGAAUACCGCAUGAUAUUUUUAUUAAAGAAUUUCGGUUAUCGAUGGGGAUGCGUUCCAUUAGUUUGUUGGCGGGGUAACGGCCCACCAAGACAACGAUGGAUAGGGGUUCUGAGAGGAAGGUCCCCCACAUUGGAACUGAGACACGGUCCAAACUCCUACGGGAGGCAGCAGUGAGGAAUAUUGGUCAAUGGGCGAGAGCCUGAACCAGCCAAGUAGCGUGAAGGAUGAAGGCUCUAUGGGUCGUAAACUUCUUUUAUAUGGGAAUAAAGUUUUCCACGUGUGGAAUUUUGUAUGUACCAUAUGAAUAAGGAUCGGCUAACUCCGUGCCAGCAGCCGCGGUAAUACGGAGGAUCCGAGCGUUAUCCGGAUUUAUUGGGUUUAAAGGGAGCGUAGGUGGAUUGUUAAGUCAGUUGUGAAAGUUUGCGGCUCAACCGUAAAAUUGCAGUUGAAACUGGCAGUCUUGAGUACAGUAGAGGUGGGCGGAAUUCGUGGUGUAGCGGUGAAAUGCUUAGAUAUCACGAAGAACUCCGAUUGCGAAGGCAGCUCACUAGACUGUCACUGACACUGAUGCUCGAAAGUGUGGGUAUCAAACAGGAUUAGAUACCCUGGUAGUCCACACAGUAAACGAUGAAUACUCGCUGUUUGCGAUAUACAGUAAGCGGCCAAGCGAAAGCAUUAAGUAUUCCACCUGGGGAGUACGCCGGCAACGGUGAAACUCAAAGGAAUUGACGGGGGCCCGCACAAGCGGAGGAACAUGUGGUUUAAUUCGAUGAUACGCGAGGAACCUUACCCGGGCUUAAAUUGCAACAGAAUAUAUUGGAAACAGUAUAGCCGUAAGGCUGUUGUGAAGGUGCUGCAUGGUUGUCGUCAGCUCGUGCCGUGAGGUGUCGGCUUAAGUGCCAUAACGAGCGCAACCCUUAUCUUUAGUUACUAACAGGUGAUGCUGAGGACUCUAGAGAGACUGCCGUCGUAAGAUGUGAGGAAGGUGGGGAUGACGUCAAAUCAGCACGGCCCUUACGUCCGGGGCUACACACGUGUUACAAUGGGGGGUACAGAAGGCGGCUACCUGGUGACAGGAUGCUAAUCCCAAAAACCUCUCUCAGUUCGGAUCGAAGUCUGCAACCCGACUUCGUGAAGCUGGAUUCGCUAGUAAUCGCGCAUCAGCCAUGGCGCGGUGAAUACGUUCCCGGGCCUUGUACACACCGCCCGUCAAGCCAUGAAAGCCGGGGGUACCUGAAGUACGUAACCGCAAGGAGCGUCCUAGGGUAAAACUGGUAAUUGGGGC
rnacentral:rRNA from 1 species